rnacentral:snoRNA from 1 species
AACCCAUGUUGAGGGCAUUUCCGGAGCAUGUUUUUAAAUCUGUUCCAGACUUCAUCAAAUGAUUCAUUCUCUCCUUGAUUGAAUACUGAUAUAUCAUGUCUCAGCUU